rnacentral:rRNA from 1 species
GACGUAGGGGGCGAGCGUUGUCCGGAUUUAUUGGGCGUAAAGCGUGCGUAGGCGGCUGCGCAAGGCGGUUGUGAAAGCCCGGGGCUCAACCCCGGAACUGCAUUCGAUACUGCGUGGCUAGAGGUAGGUAGGGGAGAUCGGAAUUCCUGGUGUAGCGGUGAAAUGCGCAGAUAUCAGGAGGAACACCGGUGGCGAAGGCGGAUCUCUGGGCCGUACCUGACGCUCAGGCACGAAAGCUAGGGGAGCGAACAGG